AGGUGCUCAUGCACUCGGAGAGAGACAACACUGGAGGACAUGUAGUCCCUCUGCGGGGGUGGACGCUCCCACUUCCCCCCUGUUUGGAGGGGAGGACCGGGAGAGGGGAGGAUGAUGCAUGCGGUUCUGAUGGAUGUGAUUUUGAGACGAUAAAAAUGGACAAGGCCGGUGCAUGGACGUCACCACAUGCGCCGCGAAAGGCUCAGUGCGCCACUCGUGGAUGCUCUCAUCUGGGGGAUGCCUGCACCGGGAAGCUCCGCACGACAACACAGUCCCUUCACGUAUAAAAAGCACCACGCAAGAAUGACUACUCAACAUUGCAGGUGGUGUGUGUGUAUCACCGUGAGUGUGUGUGUUCAGGCCUGAGGGGUUGUCUGUUAUCUUUGGUUAUCUAGCUGUAUGAGUGGCGUACAUUCUUCAUAAAGCUAGAUAACCGAAAGUAACAAGAAUCCCAUUGCGUGCCUGCACCACUGAAGGAAACAAAAGAAUAAAAAUAUUUUAAAAAAGAGAGGACGCUGCAUGUCAUAAAAGGAAAAAAAGGGUGUUUGGCCACAUCACAUACGUGUACUUGGCGGGACUUUUUCCUGGACUUCUGACAACACAGUGGACUGAGCCGUCGUCGGAUGGAUGAUUUGCACAGUGGCCUUCAUAGGUCAGCAUGUUUGGCCAUUGUGAGGCUAAAACUAUAUGUAGUGUGUUCAUUUCCUUACAAAUGAAUAACAAUAAUUGAGAUGCUUCUUAGUUUUAUGCAUGAUGUCAAAUAUUUUGAUAGAUAGCAGAAAUACCAGAUUUUACAUACAUUUUUAUUCUGUAUUAUUUAGGUUGGAGGGGUAGGCUUCACAGUUAAAUGUGUCUCAUUUGUACAACAUUGGUGAUUUUAUUUGCACAAUCAAAUGUCAAUGACAAUCUGUGUGACUGGAAUACUUGUGAUGUUUGUUAUUGUCUUAUAUAGGGAAACUAAUAUUCAGAUCUAUGCAAAAGGACAUUUGCACUGUGGGUCUUUGCACAUAAAAACUACUGUUGAGUUUGCACACUGAACGGCUUGAUGCGGGUCUGAGAAAGUGACCUUAUACUACGGUAUAGGCGCACAUGUGCAAUAGUUUCAUGUAUUUGAACUGUGGUGCAAGCAGAAUACUUAUCAAUUUCAUAUUUUAGAGUUUAUUUCUAUGAAAAGACAUGUCUGUGUUGUACUGCAAAUAUAGCAGUAAAGAAUAUUGUAUUAACAUAAUGCACUACAACGUAAUGGAGGGAUGUCCAAAGUGCGGCCCACGGCUGGAUGUCCAAAGUGCGGCCCACGGCUGUUUUUUUUUUUUUUUUUAUUGGCCCUUUGCAUAUUGUAAAAAUAAAGUAUUAAUGAAAUAUUAUUAGAUGUGACAGUAAUUUGAUUUGUCAGCUAUAAGCCAAGAUGUGGAUGUUUUGUUCAGAUAGCACAGCAUAUAUUGACAUACACUGCAUUGGUCUUAGCGUCUUUAAAUGUACAAAAUGUAACAAAGUGGCCGCCGACAUCCUUCCACUUAUUCUGUAUGCGGCCCUCUGGGAAAAAGUUUGGACACCCCUCUCUGCUCUGUUUGCACAUAAAUCGAUGUUAUCAUGCUCUAACUUUGUACUAUGCAAAUUAUAUGUUGAUAUGAUCAAUAAAAACCUGUUUACAGUGGGACAAUAACUGUAUGUGACUGUAUUUAUUCUCGUCACAGAAAAGGUAUGAGAUGAACUGAGAGGGGAUCAGUCGCUGCAAAGUCAUGAUAAAUACAAGCAUAUGUUGCUUUUUAUGAAUUGAAUGGAAUGCCAUGCUCCGACAG